GUCCUCGUAGCUCAGCUGGAUAGAGCGUCGGUUUCCUAAACCGAAGGUCGCGCGUUCGAAUCGCGCCGGGGGCA
rnacentral:tRNA from 1 species